rnacentral:tRNA from 1 species
GCCCGAGUGGCGGAAUUGGCAGACGCGCUAGCUUCAGGUGCUAGUCUGAUUACUCAGGUGCAGGUUCAACCCCUGUCUCGGGCACCA